rnacentral:rRNA from 1 species
CGUGUAGGCGGCGAGGUAUGUCUGAUGUGAAAGCCCUCGGCUUAACCGGGGAACUGCACCAGAAACUACCUUGCUUGAGUGCGAGAGAGGAUGGCGGAAUUCCUAGUGUAGAGGUGAAAUUCGUAGAUACUAGGAGGAACACCGGAGGCGAAGGCGGCCAUCUGGCUCGCAACUGACGCUGAGACGCGAAAGCGUGGGGAGCAAACA